rnacentral:rRNA from 1 species
GAUGAACGCUGGCGGCGUGCCUAAUACAUGCAAGUCGAGCGAACAGAUGAUGAGCUUGCUCCCCUGACGGUAGCGGCGGACGGGUGGGUAACACGUGCAUCACCUACCUAUAUUACUGGGAUAAUUUCGUGAAACCGGUUCUGCUACCAGCUCAUAUAUUCAACCGCAGGGUUCAAUAGUGCAACACGGCUUUCGUGUUACUUUGAGCUGGUUCCGUGUCGCAUUAGCUAGUUGGUAAGGUAACGGCUUACCAAGGCAACGAUGCGUAGCCGAUCUGAGAGGAUGAUCAGCCACACUGGAACUGAGACACGGUCCAGACUCCUACGGGAGGCAGCAGUGGGGAAUAUUCGGCAAUGGGCGCAAGCCUGACGCAGCAACACCGCGUGAGUGAUGAAGGUCUUCGGAUUGUAAAGCCCUGUUAUUGGGAAAGAAAAGCUGUAUAAGUAAAUAUGCACGUUUUGACGGUACCUAAUCAGAAAGCACCGGCUAACUACGUG